UCUGGCCCCUAGGGUCCGAGUUGUAAUUUGUAGAGGAUGCUUUUGGUGAGGUGCCGCCCGAGUUCCCUGGAACGGGACGCCACAGAGGGUGAGAGCCCCGUCUGGCUGGCCGCCGAGCCUCUGUAAAGCUCCUUCGACGAGUCGAGUAGUUUGGGAAUGCUGCUCAAAAUGGGAGGUAUAUGUCUUCUAAAGCUAAAUAUUGGCCAGAGACCGAUAGCGCACAAGUAGAGUGAUCGAAAGAUGAAAAGCACCUUGAAAAGAGGGUUAAAUAGUACGUGAAAUUGUUGAAAGGGAAGCGCUUGUGACCAGACUUGGGCGCGGCGGAUCAUCCGGGGUUCUCUCCGGUGCACUUCGCCGCGUCUAGGCCAGCAUCAGUUCGUCGCGGGGGAAAAAGGCUUCGGGAACGUGGCUCCUCCGGGAGUGUUAUAGCCCGUUGCAUAAUACCCUGCGGUGGACUGAGGACCGCGCAUCUGCAAGGAUGCUGGCGUAAUGGUCACCAGCGACCCGUCUUGAAACACGGACCAAGGAGUCGUCUUCGUAUGCGAGUGUUCGGGUGUCAAACCCCUACGCGUAAUGAAAGUGAACGCAGGUGAGAGCUUC
rnacentral:rRNA from 1 species